GGGAGUAUAGCUCAGUUGGUAGAGUGCCUGCCUCACAUGCACGAGGCCAUGGGUUCAAUCCCUAGCACCA
rnacentral:tRNA from 1 species